UGAGGGAAUAUUGGGACAAUGGAGGCAACUCUGAUCCAGCCAUGCCGCGUGAAGGACUAAGGCCCUAUGGGCUGUAAACUUCUUUAGACGCAGAGCAAUAAGGGCCACGCGUGGUCCGAUGAGAGUAUGCGUAGAAUAAGGAUCGGCUAACUCCGUGCCAGCAGCCGCGGUAAUACGGAGGAUCCGAGCGUUAUCCGGAUUCAUUGGGUUUAAAGGGUGCGCAGGCGGGCCUGUAAGCCCGUGGUGAAAGCCUGGUGCUCAACGCCAGAGGUGCCGCGGGAACUGCAGGUCUUGAGUCGUGACGAGGGCGGCGGAAUGCGAAGUGUAGCGGUGAAAUGCUUAGAUAGUUCGCAGAACGCCGAUUGCGAAGGCAGCCGCCCAGGGACGCACUGACGCUGAGGCACGAAGGCAUGGGG
rnacentral:rRNA from 1 species